CACGUAGUUAGCCGUGGCUUUCUGGUUAGGUACCGUCAAGGUACGAGCAGUUACUCUCAUACUUGUUCUUCCCUAACAACAGAGCUUUACGACCCGAAGGCCUUCUUCGCUCACGCGGCGUUGCUCCGUCAGACUUUCGUCCAUUGCGGAAGAUUCCCUA
rnacentral:rRNA from 1 species